GCCCGAGUGGUGGAAUAGGCAGACGCAAGGGACUUAAAAUCCCUCGGUAGAAAUACCGUGCCGGUUCAAGUCCGGCCUCGGGCACCA
rnacentral:tRNA from 1 species